GGCCUUUAUGCCCAGGGCUACACACGUGCUCAAUGGGCGGUACAAAGAGCAGCGAGCUCGCGAGAGUAAGCAAAUCUCAAAAAAGCCGUCCUCAGUUCGGAUUGGAGUCUGCAACUCGACUCCAUGAAGUUGGAAUCGCUAGUAAUCGCGGAUCAGCAUGCCCGCGGUCGAAUACGUUCCGGGCCUU
rnacentral:rRNA from 1 species